GAUCCAGCCAUGCCGCGUGAGUGAAGAAGGCCUUCGGGUUGUAAAGCUCUUUCGGCCGGGAAGAAAUCGCAUGGGUCAAUACCCUGUGUGGAUGACGGUACCGGAAUAAGAAGCACCGGCUAACUACGUGCCAGCAGCCGCGGUAAUACGUAGGGUGCGAGCGUUAAUCGGAAUUACUGGGCGUAAAGCGUGCGCAGGCGGUUUGGUAAGUCAGAUGUGAAAUCCCCGGGCUCAACCUGGGAACUGCAUUUGAGACUGCCAAGCUGGAGUUUGGCAGAGGGGGGUGGAAUUCCACGUGUAGCAGUGAAAUGCGUAGAGAUGUGGAGGAACACCGAUGGCGAAGGCAGCCCCCUGGGCCAAUACUGACGCUCAUGCACGAAAGCGUGGGGAGCAAACAGGAUUAGAUACCCUGGUAGUCCACGCCCUAAAACGAUGUCAACUAGGUGUUGGGAGGGUUAAACCUUUUAGUGCCGUAGCUAACGCUUGAAGUUGACCGCCUGGGGAGUACGGCCGCAAGGCUAAAACUCAAAGGAAUUGACGGG
rnacentral:rRNA from 1 species